GACGAACGCUGGCGGCGUGCUUAACACAUGCAAGUCGAACGGAAAGGCCCUGCUUUUGUGGGUUUCUCGAGUGGCGAACGGGUGAGUAACACGUGAGUAACCUGCCCUUGACUUUGUGAUAACUUCAGGAAACUGGGGCUCAUACCGGAUAUGAGCUCCUGCUGCAUGGUGGGCGUUGGAAAGUUUCGGCGGUUGGGUAUGGACUCGCGGCUUAUCAGCUUGUUGGUGGGGUAGUGGCUUACCAAGGCUUUGACGGGUAGCCGGCCUGAGAGGGUGACCGGCCACAUUGGGACUGAGAUACGGCCCAGACUCCUACGGGAGGCAGCAGUGGGGAAUAUUGCACAAUGGGCGGAAGCCUGAUGCAGCAACGCCGCGUGCGGGAUGACGGCCUUCGGGUUGUAAACCGCUUUCGCCUGUGACGAAGCGUGAGUGACGGUAAUGGGUAAAGAAGCACCGGCUAACUACGUG
rnacentral:rRNA from 1 species